UGCGGAAGGAUCAUUAUCGAGUUUUGAAGUGGGCUUGAUGCUGGCUUUUCUGAAGCAUGUGCUCAGCCCCGCUCUCAAUUUCACUCAACACCUGUGCACUUUCAAAGUCGUGGUCCUCCGUAAUGGGAGUCGCUGAUUUAUGCUUGAAAGAGUUGUAAUCAGUUGGGACUGCACUUUGCCCCUUCAUCACAAACCAUUUACAUUGUCUUGUAGAAUGUGUUAGCCUCAUUUGUGGGUGAAACUUAAUACAACUUUCAACAACGGAUCUCUUGGCUCUCGCAUCGAUGAAGAACGCAGCGAAAUGCGAUAAGUAAUGUGAAUUGCAGAAUUCAGUGAAUCAUCGAAUCUUUGAACGCACCUUGCGCUCCUUGGUAUUCCGAGGAGCAUGCCUGUUUGAGUGUCGCUUAAAUCAUCAACUCCCCCCUUUUUAUUAACGUGAAGUGGGCGGUGAGCUUGGACUUGGGGAUUUGCUGGCCCAGUAUGUGGGUUUCUGGCUUCCCUUGAAUGCAUUAGCUGGAUCUCUUUUCGCAGCAUAUAUGCGGUGUGAUAAUAUCUUCACUGCUUCGCUCGAAUUGAAAUGUCUGGCUUCUAAUUGUCCUCUCGAGGACAAGCUUUGAUCAUUAAGACCUCAAAUCAGGUAGGACUACCCGCUG
rnacentral:rRNA from 1 species